AUGCCCCCGCCGACCGCCUCGUCGCUGCCCACCGCGGCCGCCGACCCGGCGCUGCCCGCGGCCUUCCUCUCCGUCCCGUCCCCGUUCCUCCCCUCCUCCCCGCCCCUCCCCGCCGCCCUCGCCCCCUCCCACGCCUCCUUCCUGCCCCGCGCGCGCGGGCCCCGCGCGCUCGCCGUCUCCGUGUCCGUCACCGGCCCGGUCUCCACCGCCGCGUCGCGGCUCCACCACAUGUGGGCCGAGUUCGCGCGCUUCGUGCGGCUGCACGGGAACCAAAUCGCGCCGCUCGGCUUCGCGUCCCUCGGUUCGGCCGUCGGAGGCGGCGGGGGCGGAUGCGGGGGAGGGAAUGGAGGGGGCGGUGGGGGAGGGGGUGGCGCAGACGCCGAUGGGGCGGUCGAGGAGGAAGGCGUGGCGCGGGCCGAGGCGCCUAAGAAGGUGUUGAUCCUCAUGAGCGACACGGGCGGCGGCCAUCGCGCGUCCGCCGAGGCUAUCAAGGCCGCUUUUGCCCAGGAGUAUGGCGACGACUACCAGGUAUUCGUCACUGAUUUGUGGACUGAACAUACACCAUGGCCUUUCAACCAACUUCCCAGAAGCUAUAGUUUCUUGGUGAAACAUGGACCCUUGUGGAAGAUGACUUACUAUGGUACCGCACCACGAGUAAUUCACCAGCCACAUUUUGCUGCAACAGCAACAUUCAUAGCGAGAGAGGUUGCCAAAGGUUUGAUGAAGUACCAACCAGAUGUGAUUAUCAGUGUACAUCCUUUAAUGCAACAUGUCCCCCUUCGAGUUCUGCGAUCCAGAGGGUUAUUGGAUAAGAUUCCGUUUACAACUGUUAUCACUGACUUGAGCACUUGUCACCCAACAUGGUUUCACAAGCUUGUGACUAGAUGUUACUGUCCAUCAGCUGAGGUGACAAAGAGAGCACUAAAAGCUGGACUGAAACCUUCACAAAUUAAAGUGUAUGGCCUCCCUGUGCGCCCAUCUUUUGCUAAACCUGUUCCACCGAAGGAUGAAUUGCGUAGGGAGUUAGGUAUGGAUGAAUAUCUGCCUGCGGUUCUAUUAAUGGGUGGGGGUGAAGGGAUGGGUCCUAUUGAAGCCACUGCUCGAGCUCUCGAUAAUGCUUUAUAUGACGAAAGCCUUGGGGAACCAAGGGGCCAAAUACUUAUAAUUUGUGGACGCAAUAAGAAGUUGACUAACAGGUUGCAGUCAAUUAAUUGGAAAAUUCCUGUUCAGGUGAAAGGUUUUGUUACAAAGAUGGAAGAAUGCAUGGGUGCUUGUGACUGUAUCAUCACAAAGGCAGGACCUGGUACCAUUGCAGAGGCGAUGAUUCGUGGCCUCCCCAUUAUUCUAAAUGGUUACAUUGCUGGGCAGGAAGCUGGCAAUGUUCCCUAUGUUGUUGAAAAUGGCUGUGGGAAGUUUUCAAAAUCUCCAGAACAUAUCGCAAAGAUUGUUGCCGACUGGUUCGGCCCCAGGUCAGAUGAGCUUCAGAUAAUGUCCCAAAAUGCCCUGAAACUGGCUCGCCCAGACGCGGUGUUGAAAAUUGUUCAUGAUCUACAUGAGCUAGUGAGGCAAAAGUCGUUUGUACCAGAAUAUGCAUAUGCAACAUAA
rnacentral:rRNA from 1 species